rnacentral:lncRNA from 1 species
ACGAUGUCUUAUCUUAAGUAACCACCCUACACAGUCAAUGGGCUAAGCCUGAGCACUUUGGGUAUGGACUUGCUGCACCCCUUGGUGGCUAUCCGGCUAUCCUCCUGGAAACAACACAGGGAGAGGACAACAUUCACCUGGGAGCAACGACAUGUGGUGGGACUGCUGUUUGCUAAGACCCAGUACUCAGCCAUUUCCAUGUGGGAGGAGGUAGUGCUGAAACUCAACUUGCCCAAGUCCAGGGUACAGGUAUGGUUUAAGGAAUGAAGAAGAGCUGAGUGCCGCCGACCACAGCAGUAACAACAAAAUGGAAGUCAAAACAAAGCGAGACCUGCUAUAAAGAAGCCAUCUCCA